GAUGAACGCUGGCGGCGUGCCUAAUACAUGCAAGUCGAGCGAACAGAUGAGGAGCUUGCUCCUCUGACGUUAGCGGCGGACGGGUGAGUAACACGUGGAUAACCUACCUAUAAGACUGGGAUAACUUCGGGAAACCGGAGCUAAUACCGGAUAAUAUAUUGAACCGCAUGGUUCAAUAGUGAAAGACGGUUUUGCUGUCACUUAUAGAUGGAUCCGCGCCGCAUUAGCUAGUUGGUAAGGUAACGGCUUACCAAGGCAACGAUGCGUAGCCGACCUGAGAGGGUGAUCGGCCACACUGGAACUGAGACACGGUCCAGACUCCUACGGGAGGCAGCAGUAGGGAAUCUUCCGCAAUGGGCGAAAGCCUGACGGAGCAACGCCGCGUGAGUGAUGAAGGUCUUCGGAUCGUAAAACUCUGUUAUUAGGGAAGAACAAAUGUGUAAGUAACUAUGCACGUCUAGACGGUACCUAAUCAGAAAGCCACGGCUAACUACGUG
rnacentral:rRNA from 1 species